ensembl:snoRNA Gm23985 predicted gene, 23985
AAUGUUCUAGAAGUAUUCCAGGUGUGUCAGGUGUGUCAAUUCAGUAGGUGCCAGAGAAGGGAGAGGUUAUGUCUAACUUAGUGUCCUGAUCUAUGAACAUCUGAGUGAUUAGCAACCUAUAAUU